rnacentral:lncRNA from 1 species
UCACUUUUUAUUUCAAUCUUAAGCAUGACUAUAUCACCAUAUGUUGUGAUUUCAAACUAUAAAACCACAGACCUACUUAAGUAUCCUUCAUGCAUAUUUAACAAUCAUUGUUCACAUGAGUGUUCAUUUACUAUUAUAGAACUAAGUGUCCAGCGUUUUCUAGAUUGCUAAAUACAAGUUCAAAUCAUAGAGCAUGGCUUGACAUAUUCAACAUGAGCACAAGAAACUAUGUCAUAAUAGGAACAUAAGAGUGUAAACAAUUAGAGUUGAUAGCCUUCUAAUGAUCAAACAUAGUUUUUGUUGAAACUACAGCAUGAAUAUCAAACUCUAGAUACAGUUCUAGUCUGGUUGCAGAUUGUAGCACUUCAUCUAUUAGCUAAUGGUAUGGAGAAAUACCUGAAAUGUGAAAAAAGUACAGCAAAGUAGUCAAAGACCAGUAAAUAUGAAAUAACAGCCAGAAAAUAGAGUCGGAAUUGCAUUUGAAAAACUAAGAAGUUUAUGUUUGAAACCCAAUCUUACGCUCAGUUGAAGACCAACAGUAUAAUGAAUCUCCUGAUUUGCUUCAAAACCAAAUUCAACUCAUUGUUUAACCUUGAGAUCUAGAGAAGGAUUUCCGAACUUGACAGGAUUCUCAGCUAUUUUUUGCGUAUUUUCUCAGUAACUUUUUUGCUCUCUAAAACUAUCUCACAUAACUUUUAAAAGACUCUCAGAUCUGGAAAUUUUUUUUGAUCUUAGAACUUCAGAUUUUUAAACUUUAGAUAUGAAAUUUUCCCUCUCCAAGAUUUCAAUAUUUCAAUACUUUUGGAUUUCGAAUUUCAGACUGCCCCAAAACGUAUCUUACAAGGCACGGUACACUGCCUUUUAUAGGAAAAUACUAGGGCAUAUUUCAGAUUUUUACUUUACACUUUAUCCCCCCCCCCCCUUUAAUUUUAACUGUUUGCUUAAAAGUACUUGAG